CUCGACAUCGAACCGUCCGGGCCGCAGUAGCGCCUGGUCGAGGUCGUCCCGUCGGUUGGUGGCGCCGAGCAGUGAAGUAGCUAGUAAUAUAAUCUAUUAUAAUAUUGCCCCACCUCGACAUCGAACCGCCCGGGCCGCAGUAGCGCCUGGUCGAGGUCGUCCCGUCGGUUGGUGGCGCCGAGCAGUGAAGUAGCUAGUAAUAUAAUCUAUUAUAAUAUUGCCCCACCUCGACAUCGAACCGUCCGGGCCGCAGUAGCGCCUGGUCGAGGUCGUCCCGUCGGUUGGUGGCGCCGAGCAGUGAAGUAGCUAGUAAUAUAAUCUAUUAUAAUAUUGCCCCACCUCGACAUCGAACCGCCCGGGCCGCAGUAGCGCCUGGUCGAGGUCGUCCCGUCGGUUGGUGGCGCCGAGCAGUGAAGUAGCUAGUAAUAUAAUCUAUUAUAAUAUUGCCCCACCUCGACAUCGAACCGCCCAGGCCGCAGUAGCGCCUGGUCGAGGUCGUCCCGUCGGUUGGUGGCGCCGAGCAGUGAAGUAGCUAGUAAUAUAAUCUAUUAUAAUAUUGCCCCACCUCGACAUCGAACCGCCCAGGCCGCAGUAGCGCCUGGUCGAGGUCGUCUCGUCGGUUGGUGGCGCCGAGCAGUGAAGUAGCUAGUAAUAUAAUAACAAGUAUAUUGCCCCACCUCGACAUCGAACCGUCCGGGCCGCAGUAGCGCCUGGUCGAGGUCGUCCCGUCGGUUGGUGGCGCCGAGCAGUGAAGUAGCUAGUAAUAUAAUAAUAGAUAUAU